rnacentral:rRNA from 1 species
GGAAUCUUAGACAAUGGGCGCAAGCCUGAUCUAGCCAUGCCGCGUGAGUGACGAAGGCCUUAGGGUCGUAAAGCUCUUUCGCCAGAGAUGAUAAUGACAGUAUCUGGUAAAGAAACCCCGGCUAACGCCGCGCCAGCAGCCGCGGUAAUACGGAGGGGGUUAGCGUUGUUCGGAUUCACUGGGCGUAAAGGGCGCGCAGGCGGCGCUGGAAGUCCUGGGUGAAAGCCCCCGGCUCAACUGGGGGAGGGCCUGGGAAACCACAGUGCUGGAGUGCUGGAGGGGGAAGCGGAAUUCCCGGUGUAGCGGUGAAAUGCGUAGAUAUCGGGAGGAACAUCCGAGGCGAAGGCGGCCUCCUGGACAGACACUGACGCUGAGGCGCGAAAGCUAGGGGAGC